CUGCUGAGGAGUCCUACAAUAGGACGAUACGGCCGUCGAGCAG
rnacentral:hammerhead_ribozyme from 1 species